rnacentral:rRNA from 1 species
AGGGUUUGAUCCUGGCUCAGAAUGAACGUUGGCGGCGUGGAUUAGGCAUGCAAGUCGUGCGAGAAUCUCCUUCGGGAGAGGACAGCGGCGAAAGGGAGAGUAACAGGUGGUUACAUACCCUCAGGUUCGGGAUAGUGUCGGGAAACUGACAGUAAUACCGAAUAACAUCUAAGGAUCAAAGGUGUGAUUCCGCCUGAGGAUUGGACCGCUUUCUAUUAGCUUGUUGGCGGGGUAAUGGCCCACCAAGGCUGCGAUGGAUACCGGGUGUGAGAGCAUGGCCCGGCUCACUGGGACUGAGACACUGCCCAGACACCUACGGGUGGCUGCAGUCGAGAAUCUUCGGCAAUGGACGAAAGUCUGACCGAGCGACGCCGCGUGCGGGAUGAAGGCCUUCGGGUUGUAAACCGCUGUCAGUUGGGAGGAAAUAUUAGGGGGUACUCCCCUUAAUUUGACCGAUCUUCAGAGGAAGGACGGGCUAAGUUCGUGCCAGCAGCCGCGGUAAGACGAACCGUCCAAACGUUAUUCGGUAUCACUGGGCUUAAAGCGUGCGUAGGCGGCCUGGUAGGUGAGAUGUGAAAGCCCACGGCUCAACCGUGGAAUUGCGUUUCAAACCACCAGGCUUGAGGAUGGCAGGGGUGAUGGGAACUGAUGGUGGAGCGGUGAAAUGCGUUGAUAUCAUCAGGAACACCGGUGGCGAAGGCGCAUCACUGGGCCAUUUCUGACGCUGAGGCACGAAAGCUAGGGUAGCGAACGGGAUUAGAUACCCCGGUAGUCCUAGCUGUAAACGAUGAGCACUGGGUUGAGGGGACUUCCACAUCUUCUCGGCCGUAGCGAAA